CCAAUAGCGUAUAUUAAAGUUGUUGCAGUUAAAAAGCUCGUAGUUGAACUUCGGGGUUUACCCAUUGGUCAGGCUUAAUUGUCUGUACUGGUGAGAUGAAUCUCUACCUUCUGAGGAACUUUCAUGCCAUUUAUUUGGUGUGAUUGGAAAUCAGGACUGUUACUUUGAAAAAAUUAGAGUGUUUAAAGCAGGCUAACGUCUGAAUACAUUAGCAUGGAAUAAUGAAAUAGGACGGAUUGAUUCUAUUUCGUUGGUUUCUAGGAUCACCGUAAUGAUUAAUAGGGAUAGUUGGGGGCAUUAGUAUUCAAUUGUCAGAGGUGAAAUUCUUGGAUUUAUUGAAGACUAACUACUGCGAAAGCAUUUGCCAAGGAUGUUUUCAUUAAUCAAGAACGAAAGUUAGGGGAUCGAAGACGAUCAGAUACCGUCGUAGUCUUAACCAUAAACUAUGCCGACUAGGGAUCGGACGAAGUUAAUUUUAUAAUGACGCGUUCGGCACCUUACG
rnacentral:rRNA from 1 species